GCCGAGGUGGCGAAACGGCAGACGCAGUGGACUCAAAAUCCACCGUCCGUAAGGACAUGCGGGUUCAAGUCCCGCCCUCGGUACCA
rnacentral:tRNA from 1 species